rnacentral:ncRNA from 1 species
CUUCCCCAACGAGUCCAUAUCGACGGGAUGGUUUGGCACCUCGAUGUCGGCUCGUCGCAUCCUGGGGCUGGAGUCGGUCCCAAGGGUUGGGCUGUUCGCCCAUUAAAGCGGUACGCGAGCUGGGUUUAGAACGUCGUGAGACAGUUCGGUCCCUAUCCGCUGUGCGCGUAGGAGUCUUGAGAAGGGCUGUCCCUAGUACGAGAGGACCGGGACGGACGAACCUCUGGUGUGCCAGUUGUUCUGCCAAGGGCAUGGCUGGUUGGCUACGUUCGGGAGGGAUAACCGCUGAAAGCAUCUAAGCGGGAAGCCUGCUUCGAGAUGAGGACUCCCACCUCCUAGAGAGGGUAAGGCUCCCAGUAGACGACUGGGUUGAUAGGCCGGAUAUGGAAGCACGGUAACGUGUGGAGUUGACCGGUACUAAUA